UACAGAGGGCCCGUGCGUUAAUCGGAAUCACUGGGCUUAAAGGGUGCGUAGGCGGACGCGCAAGUACUUUGUGAAAUCCCAUAGCUCAACUAUGGAAUUGCUUGGUAAACUGCGUGUCUUGAGGUCGGUAGAGGUCGCCGGAACUCUAGGUGUAGCGGUGAAAUGCGUAGAUAUCUAGAGGAACGCCAAAGGUGAAGACAGGCGACUGGACCGAUUCUGACGCUGAUGCACGAAAGCGUGGGGAUCAAACAGG
rnacentral:misc_RNA from 1 species